rnacentral:rRNA from 1 species
UACGUAGGGGGCAAGCGUUGUCCGGAAUUAUUGGGCGUAAAGAGCGCGUAGGCGGUCCGAUUAGUCGGCUGUGAAAGUCCAGGGCUCAACCCUGGAAAGCCGGCCGAUACUGUCGGACUAGAGUCCGGAAGAGGCGAGUGGAAUUCCCGGUGUAGCGGUGAAAUGCGCAGAUAUCGGGAGGAACACCAAUGGCGAAGGCAGCUCGCUGGGACGGUAC